AGUUUUCCCAGAGCUGGUGGGUGGAGCUCCCUCCUCCUCCCUCUAUAAACUUGUAUUUCUUAUCUUGCAGAAAAAAAGCUGAGCUUAUUUUCGGGGAAGAAGAUUUCAGCAACAGGGCUGUAUAAGGGAUUAUUCAGUAUUACUGCAGUUUGGCAUACUUUUGGCAUCUGGCAUUUGGCAUCUGUGAAUGCAGUCUAAAUUUCAUGAUGCCUUGUACACAUUCAAGGCACCCAGUGCCAGAGGCAGCAAAUCAACCCCAAAACAUGACAGCUGAACAAAU